CUAUUACACAACACAAUCGCAAAAACAAUAAUUUGGCCUAAAUCAUGAGUGUUUCUGACAAAAUAUUUACUCUUCACUGAAAGAUCAAAUUGAUGCUGAUGCUUAUAUAAUGGAUACAGAAUCCUUAAGUAAUUCAAGUAAUUCAUAUCAG